rnacentral:rRNA from 1 species
GCUUGCUCUCGGGUGACGAGCGGCGGACGGGUGAGUAAUGUCUGGGAAACUGCCUGAUGGAGGGGGAUAACUACUGGAAACGGUAGCUAAUACCGCAUAAUGUCGCAAGACCAAAGUGGGGGACCUUCGGGCCUCAUGCCAUCAGAUGUGCCCAGAUGGGAUUAGCUAGUAGGUGGGGUAACGGCUCACCUAGGCGACGAUCCCUAGCUGGUCUGAGAGGAUGACCAGCCACACUGGAACUGAGACACGGUCCAGACUCCUACGGGAGGCAGCAGUGGGGAAUAUUGCACAAUGGGCGCAAGCCUGAUGCAGCCAUGCCGCGUGUGUGAAGAAGGCCUUCGGGUUGUAAAGCACUUUCAGCGGGGAGGAAGGCGUUAAGGUUAAUAACCUUGGCGAUUGACGUUACCCGCAGAAGAAGCACCGGCUAACUCCGUGCCAGCAGCCGCGGUAAUACGGAGGGUGCAAGCGUUAAUCGGAAUUACUGGGCGUAAAGCGCACGCAGGCGGUCUGUCAAGUCGGAUGUGAAAUCCCCGGGCUCAACCUGGGAACUGCAUUCGAAACUGGCAGGCUAGAGUCUUGUAGAGGGGGGUAGAAUUCCAGGUGUAGCGGUGAAAUGCGUAGAGAUCUGGAGGAAUACCGGUGGCGAAGGCGGCCCCCUGGACAAAGACUGACGCUCAGGUGCGAAAGCGUGGGGAGCAAACAGGAUUAGAUACCCUGGUAGUCCACGCCGUAAACGAUGUCGAUUUGGAGGUUGUGCCCUUGAGGCGUGGCUUCCGGAGCUAACGCGUUAAAUCGACCGCCUGGGGAGUACGGCCGCAAGGUUAAAACUCAAAUGAAUUGACGGGGGCCCGCACAAGCGGUGGAGCAUGUGGUUUAAUUCGAUGCAACGCGAAGAACCUUACCUGGUCUUGACAUCCACAGAACUUUCCAGAGAUGGAUUGGUGCCUUCGGGAACUGUGAGACAGGUGCUGCAUGGCUGUCGUCAGCUCGUGUUGUGAAAUGUUGGGUUAAGUCCCGCAACGAGCGCAACCCUUAUCCUUUGUUGCCAGCGGUCCGGCCGGGAACUCAAAGGAGACUGCCAGUGAUAAACUGGAGGAAGGUGGGGAUGACGUCAAGUCAUCAUGGCCCUUACGACCAGGGCUUUACACGGGGUACAAUGCAUAUACAAAGAGAAGCGACCUCGCGAGAGCAAGCGGACCUCAUAAAGUAUGUCGUAGUCCGGAUUGGAGUCUGCAACUCGACUCCAUGAAGUCGGAAUCGCUAGUAAUCGUAGAUCAGAAUG